UGGGGAAUAUUGCACAAUGGGCGCAAGCCUGAUGCAGCAACGCCGCGUGAACGAUGAAGGUCUUCGGAUCGUAAAGUUCUGUUGCAGGGGAAGAUAAUGACGGUACCCUGUGAGGAAGCCCCGGCUAACUACGUGCCAGCAGCCGCGGUAAUACGUAGGGGGCUAGCGUUAUCCGGAUUUACUGGGCGUAAAGGGAGCGUAGGUGGUCUUUCAAGUCGGUGGUUAAAGGCUACGGCUCAACCGUAGUUAGCCUCCGAAACUGGAAGACUUGAGUGCAGGAGAGGAAAGUGGAAUUCCCAGUGUAGCGGUGAAAUGCGUAGAUAUUGGGAGGAACACCAGUAGCGAAGGCGGCUUUCUGGACUGCAACUGACACUGAGGCACGAAAGCGUGGGUAGCAAACAGG
rnacentral:rRNA from 1 species